CCCGCCCCCGCGGCGCUGCGGGUGGCGAGGGGGCGGGUGGAUUCGAAAACAUUUCCAGCUGAGUUUCCAUCAAAACACGUUUCCCUGGGAUUUACCUCUCGGGAUCGCGAGGGGUGAGGUUUUGGCGAGGUUAGGCGGGGGCGCUGUGCCGUGCCUGGCACACGGGAUGCUGUCUCGGGCUGCCCAGCAAAGGCGCGGCCGGCCCGGGCUCUGCGCCGCGGAGAGCGCGGGGCUGCGGGUGCGAACAGCGGAGAAAGAACCCCCGCGGCCCCCAGGCGGGGCAAAAGCUGCCAGCCUUCCCCCGAGCUCCUGGAGGAGAUGCCCGUGCCCUCCCACCGAGGAGUUUCUACAGGCGGAGGAGUGGAAGCUCGGCAAUCCCUGCCGGGCAGCGGGGUACGAGCCACGCUGAGUUCGGGGCAUCGCUUCGGCACCAUGGGCGUGUGCUGCCACAGCCACGACACGCGUGGGGACAGCGGCGGGGGAUCGGCGCUGACAUCCUGACUCUCUCCACCAGGGAUGCAUUCGUUUAAGAGCUCUCCUGACUCCUGAGCAGAAAUGGGCAGUGUCUGCUUAUUUCAACUGUGAACUUCAUGUGACAGGCACAGAACGUGUUGUUAGGUGUGGAUCCAGGUUGCAGCUCCCAAUUCGAAUGCGAACAGAGUGCCAGCGGCUCAGCCUGGAGGUGUGCUGCACUUGCUUUGCUGUGUGAGCUUUCCAAAGCAGCAGGGCUUCUGCUUUUCACUUCGUCAGCCCGAGACAUCUUAUGCUGGAGUCAGAAAAGCAGUCCAUGAUUAGACAAAAACAUUGCAAGAGGAAAAUUCAGCCCAAAGGGGGUGUGGUUGUGGAUAUGAACACGCAGGGAGCCUUCCCAACUUGCACAAGAAGUGAAAACGUGGCUUUCAUGUGUGAAAUACAAAGUUGUGUUUUGUGUCAGGGAAAGAUUCUUUUUAAUCUGUGUAAUUGUAAUUGUAGAACACGGCUAUGGGACAGUUAUAAGGAUGAAUACUAAUCAACAACCCAGGAAAGCAUGGAAGGAGGUUUUUGAACAAACUUUGCUUGCAAUUACCUAUUAUAAAUCUCAAGCUAUUCAGUAAUAAGUGUCUUUGAAUUAUAGCUUUAGAAGCUUGCUUUGUAUUAAAGAAUUUUAAACUGUAGUUUUAGAAUGCAAAAAGGCUUUCUCACAGACUGGUAAAAAAACAUCCUGGAUACAGAAGAAAAGAUUUCAGCUCGCUGGUUUAUGGUUCCUGAAAAAGGGAAACUGGACAUCACUAUCAAAGACUGAUAGAUCUGGAAAAUAGAAGCUGGACCCCACAUCUUGAAGCUGGACCCCACCACCUGGGACACAUAUCCUGGAUGUACAUCCUGGAAUAUUGAAAUCUAAAAUGGACCACAAUAGGUAUUGAAUAAUGAUGUUAAAAAUUGGAAAUAGGAACUGCUGAGAAAAGCUUAUCUAUAUGUAUGAAUAUGGCCAAUAAAAUACCAGCAAUUCCAGCAAUCAGGGUGCAGUCGGAAGGGAAAAUCCUUCCACUGUACCCAGCGCUGCCUUUGCUCACACUUUACCAUGCUAAUUAACCAAUUAUUAAAUUGAAAAAAUACUGCACUAUUUCAGUUUCCAACGUACAGAAGUUUUAUUGUUUCUGUGAAACCGUUGCUUUGGUCUCUGCCAGACACUUGAGUUGUCUGAGCACCUGAUGCCUGCACUUGCAGUGUCUCUCCCUGCACAUACCUGGCAAAGGUCCCUCAUCAUCUGGAGCCACCAGAGUUCCACGCUGAUGCAAUAGGAGCAUCUUUGCCUCUGGAGUGGGAGCUCUGCUCGCUGUGCAUCCGAUGAAAAUUGCCCUUUCCAUGCGUUUUGUCGAGUCAGCUGGAAGCACAAAGUGCUUGUUAGUUUUCCCAUCCACUGUUGGACAUCACUCAACAAAUAAUGAAUCGUGGGUGUGUUGUGCUUCUAUCCCCUUUCACCUUUUCCACUUGCUAAUUUUGGAACUUGCAGUUUAUAAUUACAGCUCUGAGCUGGGCUCUUGGCUUGGAAAAUGAGAAUGUUUUAAAGGGAAGCUUAAGAGCUGCAUCUUGGUUGAAUACACCAUGAAGAGCUGAGUCUGACCUACAUUAAAAAUUUAGAGAACUUUUCAUUCUACAAAUGAAUAGGGGGCCCUAACACAGAGGGAAAAGCACACAUUAAGUUCUCUCUGAACCACUGGCAUCCACAGAAAUAGAAAUGGAAGGCGUUUUGUGGGACCUUUCAGGCCUUGUUUCAGGAUGUUGUGUGGCAGUGCAGUUUGAGUCAGUGCCUGCUGCAGUAACCUGCUGUAAACU